rnacentral:rRNA from 1 species
AGCAGCCGCGGUAAUUCCAGCUCCAAUAGCGUAUAUUAAAGUUGUUGCAGUUAAAAAGCUCGUAGUUGAAUUUCGGGGUCAAUACGUCGGUCGUGCCUCGGUACGCACUAACGUUAUUGAUUCCUCCCUUCUGACGAACCGUGAUGUCAUUAAUUUGGUGUUGCGGGGAAUCAGGACUGUUACCUUGAAAAAAUUAGAGUGUUUAAAGCAGGCAAUCGCUCGAAUACAUUAGCAUGGAAUAAUGAAAUAGGACGUUCGAACCUAUUUUGUUGGUUUCUAGGAUCAACGUAAUGAUUAAUAGGGAUAGUUGGGGGCAUUAGUAUUCAAUUGUCAGAGGUGAAAUUCUUGGAUUUAUUGAAGACUAACUACUGCGAAAGCAUUUGCCAAGGAUGUUUUCAUUAAUCAAGAACGAAAGUUAGGGGAUCGAAGACGAUCAGAUACCGUCGUAGUCUUAACCAUAAACUAUGCCGACUAGGGAUCGGAUGAUGUUAAUUUUUUAAUGACUCAUUCGGCGCCUUACG